AAGUCGUAACAAGGUUUCCGUAGGUGAACCUGCGGAAGGAUCAUUAUCGAAUUAAAGGGAGUUGAUGCUGGCGUUCAUUCGCAUGUGCUCGCUCUCCUAAUCCAUUCACACCUGUGCACCUUUUUGAAGAAGGCGAGAUAAGUCUUCAAUGUUUCUGUCUAUUCAGAGACUGAGAGGAAUUGUCUCCCUUCUUUGAACUUACAAACCCUUAUUGUAAUAAUGAAUGUUUAUCUGCCGAAAGGCGAAAUUAUAUACAACUUUUAACAACGGAUCUCUUGGCUCUC
rnacentral:misc_RNA from 1 species